GGUUUCACCAAGUUGGCCAGGCUGGUCUCAAACUCCUGACCUCGUGAUCCACCCGCCUCGGCCUCCCACAGUGCUGGGAUGACAGGCGUGAGCUACCACACCCGGCUGAUUUAUCCUUUUAUUUGGGCUCCUUUCACUCAGCGUCUUUAAGCUUCAUACGCGAAAGACGCUUCAGAAAUUCCUUUUUCAGGCUGAAUAUCUGCGGCGUGGCUAGGCCACUUUUUGUUUAAUCCUCCCUCCUGGUGGACAGCAGGGCUGUGCUGUUUUGGUUGCUGUAAGUGCGGGUGCACACACCUGCCUGAGGCUCUGCUUUGUUGUGAGCGCGGGUGCACACACCUGCCUGAGGCUCUGUUUUGGCCGUUGUGAGCGUGGGUGCACACACCUGCCUGAGGCUCUGCUUUGUUGUGAGCGUGGGUGCACACACCUGCCUGAGGCUCUGUUUUGGCCGUUGUGAGCGUGGGUGCACACACCUGCCUGAGGCUCUGCUUUGUUGUGAGCGUGGGUGCACACACCUGCCUGAGGCUGUGGCGCGAUCUCGGCUCACUGCAACCUCCACCUCCCGGGUUCAAGCGAUUCUCCUGCCUCAGCCUCCCGAGUAGCUGGGAUUACACCCACCACCACACCUGGCUAUUUUUUUGUAUUUUUAGUAGAGAUGGGGUUUUGCCAUGUUGGCCAGGAUGGUCUGGAACUGACCUCAGGUGAUCCACCCACUGGCCUCCCAAAGUGCUGGGAUUACAGGUGUGAGCCACUGUGCCCGGCCUCUUUUUACUUUGUUAAUGGUGUAUUUUGAUAGAUAACAGAUUGUCAUUUUCAUGAAGCACAGCUGGUCAGUUUAUUGUUGCUCAUGUAUUUGGCCUCAUGUUUGAGUCCCUGUUUUUAAUCAUGAGCUGGACACAGCCCUCUUUAGAGCAACUGUGACCACUUGUGGUGAGAAGUGCAGCCCACACCAUCCACGUGAGGCUCCCACACGCCAUCCACGUGAGGCUCCCACACGCCAUCCACGUGAGGCUCCCACACGCCAUCCACGUGAGGCUCCCAUGCAGACGUUUAGAAGGCGUUUUCACUGCAGCUCAGAAAAUGGCCCCAGGCCCCCAUGGGCACCCCCAUGUCACCAGGGCCUCUGGUUGCUGCAGGUACACAGGGAUAGGCAGCCAGGCCUCGAAGGCGCUGGGCAUGGGUUUGGGUGUCUGCGUUGGGUAGAGACCCGGAGCGCCCUUGCUGGGCGUGCCCUAACAUCCCGGUACCCUGUGCCCCUCUGUGGGCCAGGACGCCUGGUGCUGCCAGCUGGGUGUGAGCCCUGAGGAGCUGAGGGUGGCUGUGACUUGGAGGAUGAGUGGGAGCUGACCAGGAGGGCGUGGAGCCGGGGCGUUUAAUAUCAUCAGGAGCAACACUGGGCUCAGAAGGCAGGCACACUUGCCGUCCCUCCAGAGCCAUGGCUGAUGGCCAGGCCUGGCGGGCUCUCGUGAGGACAGUGCCUGUGGUUGUCAGAUGCUGUCCCUUCGAGCAAGGGAUGAGAGCCAUCCUGAAGACGGGUCAGCUCUGUGGUGACCACCCGUUGGGAGCAGUGACAUUCCGGUGCAUUGCACUGGUGGCUGUGUGGCUGCGUGGUGCGGCCGCCAGGAGCCAUGUGGCGACGACAGCUGUGGGCUGGGCACAGAGCUGUCUCUGCUGGGAGUCAGUCAGUGCUGGGGUGAGGGGAGGCAGAGCUCACAGAGCCCCUCUACAGCUCACCCUGCAGCUCGGCCCCGGGCAGUAAACCCACCAUCCCCUUUUCUGCCGCAGGAGGCCGUGGAGAAGGUGACACAGCACAUCCACGGCCUGUCUGGGAAGAAGGAUGGGCUGGUGCCCAUGUUCAUCAAUACCCACAGCGGCCUCUUCACCCACCUGGGCGUGUUCACGCUGGGCGCCAGGGCCGACAGCUACUAUGAGUACCUGCUGAAGCAGUGGAUCCAGGGCGGGAAGCAGGAGACACAGUGAGGCCCGGCCCGCUGCCCCCAGCUCCCGCGGCUCCCCCGUUCCCGCAGCCCCCCACUCCUGCUGCCCCCAGCUCCCACGGCCCCUGCUCCUGCUGCCCCCCGCCACGCUGUGUGUCAGGAAACCGCAGCCGUGCCAGGCCUGGCCCAGGCAUUUAUGUGGAGGGCGUAUUCAUUCACUUCUCACCGUGGCCUCUGUGGGGGUGAGGGGGGCAUCUUCACUGAGGGCCAUGGGCUGUGCAGGGUGGCACCUUCUGUCCGGCAAGGGCCAGGCCUGCUGUACUUGUGUGGGCCCAGGAUGUGCCUGUCCCUGGUGCCCCACGGGAGCCGAUGCACCGUCCUGGUAGAGUGAGGUGACUGCUGGUGUCCACAGGCUGCUGGAAGACUACGUGGAAGCCAUCGAGGGUGUCAGAACGCACCUGCUGCGGCACUCCGAGCCCAGUAAGCUCACCUUUGUGGGGGAGCUUGCCCACGGCCGCUUCAGUGCCAAGAUGGGACGCUGGCUCUGGGCGUCUACCACGGCCUGCCCGCCAGCCACAUGGAGCUGGCCCAGGAGCUCAUGGAGACUUGUUACCAGAUGAACCGGCAGAUGGAGACGGGGCUGAGUCCCGAGAUCGUGCACUUCAACCUUUACCCCCAGCCGGGCCGUCGGGACGUGGAGGUCAAGCCAGCAGACAGGCACAACCUGCUGCGGCCAGAGACCGUGGAGAGCCUGUUCUACCUGUACCGCGUCACAGGGGACCGCAAGUACCAGGACUGGGGCUGGGAGAUUCUGCAGAGCUUCAACCGAUUCACACGGGUCCCCUCGGGUGGCUAUUCUUCCAUCAACAAUGUCCAGGAUCCUCAGAAGCCCGAGCCCAGGGACAAGAUGGAGAGCUUCUUCCUGGGGGAGACGCUCAAGUAUCUGUUCUUGCUCUUCUCCGAUGACCCAAACCUGCUCAGCCUGGACGCCUACGUGUUCAACACCGAAGCCCACCCUCUGCCUAUCUGGACCCCUGCCUAGGGUGGAUGGCUGCUGGUGUGGGGACUUCGGGUGGGCAGAGGCACCUUGCUGGGUCUGUGGCAUUUUCCAAGGGCCCACGUAGCACCGGCAACCGCCAAGUGGCCCAGGCUCUGAACUGGCUCUGGGCUCCUCCUCGUCUCUGCUUUAAUCAGGACACCGUGAGGACAAGUGAGGCCGUCAGUCUUGGUGUGAUGAGGGGUGGGCUGGGCCGCUGGAGCCUCCGCCUGCUUCCUCCAGAAGACACGAAUCAUGACUCACGAUCGCUGAAGCCUGAGCAGGUCUCUGUGGGCCGACCAGAGGGGGGCUUCGAGGUGGUCCCUGGUACUGGGGUGACCGAGUGGACAGCCCAGGGUGCAGCUCUGCCCAGGCUCCUGAAGCCUCAGAUGUCCCCAAUCCAAGGGUCUGGAGGGGCUGCCGUGACUCCAGAGGCCCGAGGCUCCAGGGCUGGCUCUGGUGUUUACAAGCUGGACUCAGGGAUCCUCCUGGCCGCCCCGCAGGGGGCUUGGAGGGCUGGACGGCAAGUCUGUCUAGCUCACGGGCCCCUCCAGUGGAAUGGGUCUUUUCGGUGGAGAUAAAAGUUGAUUUGCUCU
rnacentral:sRNA from 1 species